rnacentral:rRNA from 1 species
AUACGGAGGAUGCAAGCGUUAUCCGGAUUUAUUGGGUUUAAAGGGUGCGUAGGCGGUUUGCUAAGCGGGAGGUGAAAUGCCGGCGCUCAACGUCGGAAGUGCCUCCCGAACUGGUGGACUUGAAUGACUCUGCCGUGGGAGGAAUGUGUAGUGUAGCGGUGAAAUGCUUAGAGAUUACACAGAACACCGAUUGCGAAGGCAUCUCACGAAGGGUUGAUUGACGCUGAGGCACGAAAGCGUGGGGAUCAAACAGGAUUAGAUACCCUGGUAGUACACGCAGUAAACG